CCUCAUGUGGAGGUGGAGAUGCAUCACUGAGAAGAGAAGGAUGAGGGCUUGAAAAUGUACUUCUAUGUGUGAAAGGUUGGAGGAUAUGGUUGUGAAUCUCUGUCUGCCACACUUUCAUACAACAGCUCACUGCAAUAAGCUAUGUGCAGAUGGCUACGAUGUCACAAACCUUGUGUCAGCUGACCCUGCUCUCCGUAAGCGGGGUUUCAAAUUGGAGUACUUCCUACGGCCACCUGUACAGGUGACAUUGAAGUUUGGCUUCCAGGUGGAGCUGUGCAGGGUGGAUGUGGAGCUGUGGCCCUGGGGUAUGGAUCGAGGACAGGCCUGCAAGAGACUGGAGAUCAGCACCAGUUCUGAUCUGCUACCUUCCACAGACCACAGACAGGUUCAGCAAAAGGAAGGAAUACAGGUGCAAGUGAAGGACCAGAGUGAACAGAACAGAGAAAAACAUCAAAAGCGUGACAGUAAAUCUCAGCAGAGUAAUGGCCACCAGUGGAGUCUUCAGGCCCAAAAGUGGGGGGAAGAGUCUCCAGAUGGCUCUGCACAAAGAGGCCAUGUUUUCAAGUGCCAGUCCAACACAGAAUCCAGCAAUCCUGAGCCCGAGUUUAAACUGGUAGGUCGUUGUGAACUUAGGGAAGACACGCAAGUCUGUUUCACACGUUCAAAUUUUUGUUCUCGGGCCCCUUUCGUCUCCCCGCCUCCUCCACACCCUGCAAUUUGUCGGCAAGAGGAGCUGUGGAGUCGCGGUCUCCCUUCUCUUUGUGCUGUGACGCAGCUUCGUGUCACUUUGCCGUUUGGUGGUGCGGCGUCUUCUCUUGGCUUGAAGACUUUGGUUGUGUGGGGACAACCGGCCCGCUGCUGCCCUGCUGAGGAAGUGGAGAGGAUUAAAAGAGUCCACGAGGCCAGUGCAAGACGGCUGCCACGACCUGCGUUUCCUCUCACAUCUGCCAGACAGACCACACAACCACCACAAGCACCUCCGAGUUCUUCUAUCCCAGAGGAAUUCCUUGACCCAAUAACACAGGAGGUGAUGAUGCUGCCCAUGCUGCUGCCCAGUGGUGUGUCAGUGGACAACACCACUCUGGAAGAGCACCAGAAGAGGGAGGCAACUUGGGGUCGACCACCAAACGACCCCUUCACUGGCGUCCCGUUCACUUCGACCUCCCAGCCUCUUCCUAACCCCCAGCUCAAAAGCCGUAUUGACCAAUUUCUGCUGCAGAAAGGGAUGAUGAGCAGGGACGGGAUGCUGGGGAGACAAGAACAGGGAGAGAAUCCACAGGCCUCCAGACUUAUAGCCUCCAAGCUACAUGGACAGUCCUGGAACUCUCCACAUCCCUCUACAUGCUCAAAAAACAGUACUGCUAUUCAGUACAAUGCAGACUCCAUUAACACGAAGGCAAUUACGCAAAUAGAAGGUGCUGAAUCAGGACCUUCAUCGGAUUAUAGGAAUCACAUGUCUAACACUCUUAGUACUGAUAGUAAAUCGGAGCUGGACAGAAGAAAGAAAAGAGAUCUAAGGGAAACUUCCAGAGAAUCAACAGAAGUGCUGACAGCUGAGAAACAACUACUACCUCAAACAAAAAGACCAAGAAAUGAUUCUACUCCUGCCCCCAACAGCACCUCUCAUGAGCAGCGUUUGUCAGCAAGUCUGGAUGAGGCGCUCUUCUCUGCCCUGCAGGGUCGACCCUCCUUCACUUCAAACUUGGUCCAGCAGAGGCAGCUUACUCCAGACCCCGAACCACUAAAACCCACCCAGCAGAGUCAGAGUUCAGGCUUUCCAGGCGUGGCUUCAGGUGAGAAGACCUGCUCUGCAUGUUUCUCUUCGAUCUCCGCUUACUCCACAACAGCAUCAUCCAUCUACCGCCUGACCUGCGGCCACUUUCUGUGCCGUGCCUGUCUGCAGAGGGAAUCAAAACCACCAAAGUCUGCCACUAAACCAACAUCCAGUCACAUCUCCUGUCCAACCUGCCAAAGCUCGACCCCACGCAGCCACAUCAUACGUGUGCAUCACUGACAGAUGGCUUCAGAAGGAAACUGACUGUGAGCAAUAGAGGAGCGUGACAAGACAGUGGAGAGUGACAGGAAAGCAGGGAGAAGGACCUACAACAAAGGGCCAUAGACUGGAUUCAAACCCAUGACCACUGCAUCAGGAACUACAGCACCCGUCCACAGGUCACCCGUUCAACCAGCCGAUCCACCAGGACGCCCUAUAUUUCAUUUUAACCAAAGUGACUGUGUCAAUAUCCAUGAUAGAAGAAUAGCAAAUGUACUAAACCUAGCUAUCACAUCACACAACUCAUGCAAAGUAACGCUGCCUUCUGCAUGCAGUACUUCCUCUUAAAACUCUCCCAACAUGUGCUUCAUCCUGCUUGCGUUGGAAAGUCUAAUGUUACGACACUUGACUCUAGCAGAUGACACACUGAAAAUCAGCAACAGUCAGCACAUAUUGGCAAAGUAGCUGCUGUAUAAGAUUAGCAAUGUAAGAUAUUUGACUUUCAGCUUGUCUGACUCUGAGGACUUGCCGUAGUAAAGCCUCCAAUCACACAUCAGGGAUCUCACAUUUUGUAUUGAUUCAUGAUCUACAAUAUCCAGUCUUCUUUAGCAAAGUGUUAUCCUAUCAGCAUAUUAAUCUCAGUGCAACUUUUCCUUUCAGAUCUACUGAUAACUACAUGUUGAAAACAGCAGUUAGACUGCUGGUUACAUCAAAACUCAUUCAUGUGAAGCAGUUUGUCUUGAUAGAUUAAUAGAUUCAGCACGCCUUAGUAGACGGUUACAGAGAGCAUGUUUUGCCUACUUGCCCACUGAAGCGUAACGACUACUUUUGCAUGUCUGACAGGGUUUUAACUUGGCAUAGCUUUCAGACAGCUCUUCAAUCCAAAGCCGAGCAGGACCGUUUUGCACGAUAGCUAGUCAUUUAAUUAGGAAAACAUCUUCCUAAACAGUGGCGUGAAUCCAAAAACAUACAGUAGUGUGUCAGUAACUAAGCUGGGAUUCAGUCUUUAAUGUUGUGCUUUUUAUCUUUGUUGAUGAAAAGAAUGUAAUCUGCUUGUAUGGCCACUCAUACAGCUGUACAUUUUAUCUAAAGCAAAAAACUCUGCAGGUCAAAACCCACAGGUCAUGCGCACUGAUCCUGCAGAAUAUUGUUAGAGCCUGUCUGUGUUUUAACAGCAGCCAAAACUGGACAAAAGUCUACAUUUGCAGCCUACAGAUUACAUUUAUUGAAAAGCUCAUGGUACCAAAAACGUGCUGUGUUGUCAGUAUUAUAGCCACGUCACAACACAGUUUACCCAAAAUAGACUACUUUAAAGCACUUUGUAAACCUUACACAUAUGCAUUAUAAAGGGAAACAUGCAUCUGGCAGCUGAAUUUUUGAAGUUUUUGCACACAAAUUUAUGACUAGCUAAUGACUAGCUCAAAACAGUAUUUUUAUUUCUUUCAUUUAUUCUAGAUUAUUCAAUUAUUUUUGCAAAAGCAGCAGAAAAAUAAUAGCAACAGCAAAAUGUGCAGGUGACAUACAAAACAACCCUAAAGGCUUGUAAAAGAAAUCUCACCUCAGAAUGCAUUAAAAGCACAUACAAAAGUCAUAAAUCUGCACAAGCAAACAAACCUCCUGCACACAGGCACUAAAGUACACUUGU